rnacentral:lncRNA from 1 species
UGCAGAACGGAGAAGGGAGAGAAGACAGUUCUAUUUUGGAAGUGGAUGUGUCACAGAGAUGAAGCCUGGGCAAGUGAGAAGAUGACAACAACAUCCCAGUAUGAAGGAGGAGAACCCAAGAAACAAUCAGACACACCCGGAAUGUUGACAUUCACAGACCAGUAGUCUUGCCGCUGAAAAACUCCAUGAUGGUUUCAUAACUACCUCGUUCCUAGAUCAAAUCCCCUCCUGCUUCAGAUACCUAAAGGGAACUUGGUUUUGCUGACCACAUCCACCUCAGGACCUCACUGCAGAGUGAGGAGGCCUCUCUCAAGAAGGCAACUCCCUACAGAAAGAGUUCCACUGAAGAACAAAAUAAACAAUGGAAAACGUGGAGACAGAGCUUUACAUAAGCGGGCAGAGGACCAAGAGAUGACGGGGGCAGGGAGAUGUAGCAAGAACGAAGAUGCGUGGUGUGUGUGCCACAAUGAGUGUAAUCAGCAUGCACUGUAAACAUGUA